AACGAACGCUGGCGGCAGGCUUAACACAUGCAAGUCGAGCGCCCCGCAAGGGGAGCGGCAGACGGGUGAGUAACGCGUGGGAAUCUACCCAUCUCUGCGGAAUAGCUCCGGGAAACUGGAAUUAAUACCGCAUACGUCCUUCGGGAGAAAGAUUUAUCGGAGAUGGAUGAGCCCGCGUUGGAUUAGCUAGUUGGUGGGGUAAUGGCCUACCAAGGCGACGAUCCAUAGCUGGUCUGAGAGGAUGAUCAGCCACACUGGGACUGAGACACGGCCCAGACUCCUACGGGGGGCAGCAGUGGGGAAUAUUGGACAAUGGGCGAAAGCCUGAUCCAGCCAUGCCGCGUGAGUGAUGAAGGCCCUAGGGUUGUAAAGCUCUUUCACCGGUGAAGAUAAUGACGGUAACCGGAGAAGAAGCCCCGGCUAACUUCGUGCCAGCAGCCGCCGUAA
rnacentral:rRNA from 1 species